CCCAGAUGGGAAGAAGGGAGCUGCAGUUUGGUGCACGAGGAGGACGGAGGCGCUGGGACUGUGAUUUGCUGUGUGACUGCUGGAAAAUGGAGUCUGUUCAUCUUAAAUUAGAGGCAACUACUGCUACUGGCAGCUCCUGGGAUACAGCAGACCUGGAGCUUCCCUUGUUUUGUGCAGAGCAGUUCCUGCUGGGCCACAGGAGGAAGCUGGUCUGACCCUCAAGGCAUCACCGUGUUUGGUGGCACCACAAGGAGGAAUCUCACCAGAAGGUCUCCCAGGAGCCUCCAGAUACAGUGAGUGGAGUAUGGUCAGGGCUGAGGAUGCUCAAGUUUUACAGCUCCAGGUGACUCUCUGCCAGCUCCCGCACCUCCAAGCACCAGGUGAGGGGUUUGGGCGAGGGCUGGGCUCGUGGCAUGGUUUGGGAUCAGCAGUUUAUAACCAUUGGCCACUCUCAGCCCUUCGUGUGCCCUUGAGCAAUGCCAUGGGAAUUGUGCCCUGCUGCAGUUUCUGCCACUCCUGUUCACUUCUCUCUUCUCCUUCUUGAUUUUUGUAUGUCAAACUUCCUUGAAAAUGGAGGAAAUGAAACCACAGGGCUUUUUCACGAGUGACAUGGGACAGCUCAGCCUUCUCCCAGAGAAGAAAUUAAAUUUAGGAGGAGGGCAAAAAAAUUAUCUCCCUGGUCAUUUGUGUUGGCUGCAGGAGCUUGGGGGCCACGUGGUCUGGCAGGAGUGCCGCCGCUGAGAUGGAGGCCCCGCUCCCUGGUCUCUCCCUGCUUCUGGUCCUCCUAGCAGUGGGACGGGGAAGCGGGGCAGUUGCAGCCUGGGCACCACCUCCGGGUGGCUGUGAGCUCGUGCAGAGCACCAUGGACUGCACUGGGAGAUGGCUGAGCUCCAUCCCAGGAAACCUUCGAGGUGAUACCGAGGAGCUGUUGCUCGAUGACAACACUAUCCAGGUCCUGGGAAAUGCCUCUCUGCUUCCAUAUACCCAGCUCUGCCAUCUCAGUUUGACCAGGAACCGGCUGGAGCUCAUCCAGCCCGGCGCCUUCCACAGCAGUCAAGGCCUCCAGGAGCUCUCCUUGUCAGACAACCUCCUCUUCACCAACUACUCGCUGACAGCAGCUGCUCUUUCUGCCUUGCAAGCCUUGAGGACACUGGAUCUAGCUGGAAACCGCCUCACUGAGGACAUGGUGUCGGUUCUGGUCUGGAACCUAUCUUCCCUGGAGUCCCUGUCUGUGGCCAGGAAUGUCAUCAUGAGACUGGACUCGUCCAUCUUUACAAACCUGACACAGCUGCUGGAGCUGAACUUGGAGAAGAACUACAUCUUUGAGAUUGACGAAGCUUUCGAAGGGCUGCAGAGUCUGCAGAGGCUCAACAUAGCUUACAACUACCUCCCGUGUCUGGUGGGGUUCGGCCUCACCCAGCUCAGGGUGCUCAACGUCAGCAACAACGUCAUUGAGUGGUUUCUGGCUCUGGAAAGCGAUGACCUCUUUGAGCUGGAGGUGCUGGACCUGUCCCACAACCGCCUGCUGUUCUUCCCCGUGCUGCCCCGGCAGAACAAGCUCCACUCCCUGCUGCUGCAGGACAACAGGAUGAGCUUCUACCAGCGCCUCCCCAAUGGCACGUCCCUGGCCAACGUCACCGUGCAGUUCCUCAUCAUUGAUGGCAACUCCACCAACAUCACGACGGUCAGGCUCUGGGAUGAGCUCUGCUACAGCAACCUCUCCUCCCUGCGCCUGCUGGACAUGAGCCAGAACCAGGUCUGGGGCCUGCCGGAGGGCUUCCUGGCCCAGAUGCCCUCACUGACCCACCUGAAGCUCAACCAGAACUGCCUGGAGGCGUUUCACCUGUUGGAGGAGGGCCCCUUAGCCAUGCUGACUGAGCUGGACCUCAGCCAGAACCGGCUGGUGGAGCUGGGGACAGAGGUGGGUGUCGGGGAUGUCCUGCCCAACCUGAAGCUCUUCAACGUCAGUGCCAACAGGCUGCGGGCGCUUCCUCCCGGGGUUUUCACCCACACCAGGAAGAUCACUACUGUGGACCUCAGCCACAACCAGGUUGACCUCUGUCCCCAGCCAGACGUUGCAGGUGAGGCGGAGAGUCCCCCCUGCAUAGACAUCAGGGGCGUGGAGACCUUGACCCACCUCUCCUUGGCCGGCUGUGGUCUGCGGGGGCUGGGCGGCCGCCCCUUCCAGGGAACGUCGCUGAUCCACCUGGACCUCUCUGACAACUGCCAGGCGCUGUCUGGGGGCCUGGGGUGGCUGCAGGACCUUGCCCUGACGCUGCAGGUGCUGUCUCUGAGGAACACCAGCCUCUCCUCCACUGCCGUGGACUUCUCCACCCUGAACAGCCUCGUACGCUUGGACCUUUCGGGGAAUUCCUUGACCGCCUUCCCCGCCUCACUGGGCGCCCUGGAGCUGCACGGCCUGGACCUGCGGGACAACUGCCUCCCGGCACUGCCGCCGGACACAGCGCGGACGCCGCUGGGGAGGAGCCUGCGGGAGCUCUACCUCAGCCGAAACCCCUACAACUGCUGCACGCUGGGCUGGUGGGACGCCCUGCAGCAGGUGGAUGGGCUGCGCGUCCCCGACGGGCGGGAGGUGACCUGCAGCCACGGCUCCCAGGCGCUGAGCCCCGGCGCGCUGCCCGAGCCCGUCCUGCGGAGCUGCCGCUGGCAGACGGCCGACCUGGCGCUGCUCUACCUCGUGCUGGCUCUGCCCACCUGCCUGACGCUCCUGGUGGCCUUCGCUGUCGUCUUCCUCAUGCUCAAGGAGAAGCUGCUGAAGAUGCUGAAAAACCGGUGUGGGGUUUCCAGCCCUUACUGAUGGCUGAGGAGGAGGAGGAGGAGGAGGAGGAGGAGGAGGAGAAGGAAGGGCUCAGGACAGGGAAUGCGAGUGGGAGGUUGGCCGUUUACAGGAUUACAGUUGAUAACCCCUCCGAGGUGGGUGAGAUGGAGAUUUGAUGGAUGGAGGACACGGGGUGCUGGGUGAGCCCUAAUGGUACCCAAAGGGUUCAGGGCUGUGUCCGGUGAAGGAGCCUGGGAAUCCUCAAGGGACACGUCUUCAGCAGAAACCUUCGGCUGGUGUGGACAAGAGCUGAGCAGACACAACAUCAAACACCUCUUGGCUGAAGGGACAGGUUGCCCAGAGAAGCUGUGGAUGCCACAUCCCUGGAAAUGUCCAAGGCCAGGUCAUGGCGAUAGGGAAGGCCCUCCAUGACUGGAGAAUCCAAGUGUCCCACCCAACUUCAGUAAUGGCCAAAAGGACAUCCCAGGGAGCAACUGGGCAGUCACCUUCACGUUGGGAAAACCACGGAGUAUCCUUUGUUUGGAACACACCUCUAGAAGAGGGUGGCUGGGAGCAGUGAGCAUGGAUUGCUGAGGGUAACUUGUGCCUGCCUGACCUGCUUUCCUCUCAGGAUGAAAUGGGUGGAUCUGUAGGCAAGGGGAAAGUAGUGGGUGCCAUUUCCCUCCUUCAGCAAGGCUUUGGACACUGUCCCACAACAUUCUUCAUCCAAGUGUGGAUGUCACAGUCUGGAUGGAUGGGCAGCCAGGCAGGUAAGGAUCAG